rnacentral:lncRNA from 1 species
ACCGAUCGCAAAAUCUUCUCCACGAUUGAUUCAUCAGACAACGUUUCACCACAGUACAGCAUCUGAUUCGUCAUCGUUUGAACUCUAGUGAAAUAUGCAACAAUUGAUUCACUCUCCUCCAUCCCUAGCAAUUCAUAUUGUCUUCGUAGGGUUUGAAGUCGCACCUUCUUCAAUUUCUGAUCACCGGCGUAGGAAUUCGCAAGAAUAUCCCACGCUUCUUUACUCGUCUCCGAUCUCGCAAUUUUCUCA